UACGGAGGGUGCAAACGUUGCUCGGAAUCAUUGGGCGUAAAGCGCACGUAGGCGGCCUGUUAAGUCGGGUGUGAAAUCCCUCGGCUCAACCGAGGAAGUGCAUUCGAAACUGGCGGGCUUGAAUGUGGAAGAGGGUCGUGGAAUUCCCGGUGUAGAGGUGAAAUUCGUAGAUAUCGGGAGGAACACCAGUGGCGAAGGCGGCGACCUGGGCCAACAUUGACGCUGAGGUGCGAAAGCGUGGGGAGCAAGACGG
rnacentral:rRNA from 1 species